CACGUAGUUAGCCGGUGCUUCUUCUGCAGGUACCGUCACACCCAAAGGCUUCUUCCCUGCUGAAAGAGGUUUACAACCCGAAGGCCGUCAUCCCCCACGCGGCGUCGCUGCAUCAGGCUUCCGCCCAUUGUGCAAUAUUCCCCACUGCUGCCUCCCGUAGGAGUCUGGGCCGUGUCUCAGUCCCAGUGUGGCCGGUCGCCCUCUCAGGCCGGCUACCCGUCGUCGCCUUGGUAGGCCAUCACCCCACCAACAAGCUGAUAGGCCGCGGGCACAUCUCACACCGCACAAGGCUUUCCACUACCAGACCAUGCGGCCGGCAGUCCCAUCCAGUAUUAGACCCCGUUUCCAGGGCUUAUCCCAGAGUGCAAGGCAGAUUACCCACGUGUUACUCACCCGUUCGCCACUAAUCCACCCCCCGAAGAGGCUUCAUCGUUCGACUUGCAUGUGUUAAGCACGCCGCCAGCGUUCGUCCUCGUAGCCACGGAGUCGAAACUACUCCUCGUAGACCGUGACCC
rnacentral:rRNA from 1 species